rnacentral:rRNA from 1 species
GAUGAACGCUGGCGGCGUGCCUAAUACAUGCAAGUCGAGCGAACAGACGAGGAGCUUGCUCCUCUGACGUUAGCGGCGGACGGGUGAGUAACACGUGGAUAACCUACCUAUAAGACUGGGAUAACUUCGGGAAACCGGAGCUAAUACCGGAUAAUAUAUUGAACCGCAUGGUUCAAUAGUGAAAGACGGUUUUGCUGUCACUUAUAGAUGGAUCCGCGCCGCAUUAGCUAGUUGGUAAGGUAACGGCUUACCAAGGCAACGAUGCGUAGCCGACCUGAGAGGGUGAUCGGCCACACUGGAACUGAGACACGGUCCAGACUCCUACGGGAGGCAGCAGUAGGGAAUCUUCCGCAAUGGGCGAAAGCCUGACGGAGCAACGCCGCGUGAGUGAUGAAGGUCUUCGGAUCGUAAAACUCUGUUAUUAGGGAAGAACAAAUGUGUAAGUACCUAUGCAAGUCUUGACGGUACCUAAUAAGAAAGCCACGGCUAACUACGU